rnacentral:misc_RNA from 1 species
GAUGAAGAACGUAGUGAAAUGCGAUAAGUAGUGUGAAUUGCAGAAUUCAGUGAAUCAUCGAAUCUUUGAACGCACAUUGCGCCCCUUGGUAUUCCAUGGGGCAUGCCUGUUCGUGCGUCAUUUGUACCUUCAAGCUCUGCUUGGUGUUGGGUGUUUGUCUCGCCUCUGCGUGUAGACUCGCCUCAAAACAAUUGGCAGCCGGCGUAUUGAUUUCGGAGCGCAGUACAUCUCGCGCUUUGCACUCAUAACGACGACGUCCAAAAGUACAUUUUUACACUCUUGACCUCGGAUCAGGUAGGGAUACCCGCUGAACUUAAGCAUAUCAAUAAGCGGAGGA